AGGUGGCAGCCAACUGAACCGAUAAGCUGGUGGAUCAAUGCUUUGUUCCUUUCUGUGUCCCAGCUCUGCAGUUCCACGUGGCCUUCUGGAGGUGCACGGGACUAGGACACCGCAUUGGUGAUGUGUGCCAUUCCCACUGCAUUGCAUCAGGAUCUGCAUGGCGUCAGUCUGUGAGGGGUGUAGGCUCCCAUGAGUUUGUGCUUGAAACUGUCCCAGGUGGGGGAUAACCCUGCAUCGUUUCACCUGCUCAGCCCAGAUGUGGCCAAGCCAAUAACGACGGGAAGUUCUCUGGUUUAUGUUCUGGCAAAUGUCGACAAAGCAAAACAAAACACAGCAAAACUCCAUUUCCGAGGCAUCCAAAGAGGGGAAAGGGAAAGAGGUUUCAGAACACGGAACGCUCAGCCAUCGGAGUUCCAUCCAAUGGUUAUGCUUCACGAAGAAGUGAGGACACGUGCCUGCAGCCCAGGACAGGGUCGUGCGUGCCCAAGAGCAGAACAACGCACUCGGACUUGUGGCUGUGAGUCUGUGCAGCUGCGGCCAAGCCAUCUUGGACCCUGAGGCAAAAGGAAAAUUCAGCAAAGGUGAUUCCAUUUUUAUUUAAAAUUUCGAUGGUUUGUUCGUCAUGGAUUCUUUUGCAUUCAUUAUUUUUUAACAUUUUUAUUGGAGUAUAAUUGCUUUACAGUGUUGUGUUAGUUUCUGCUAUAUAUCAAAGUGAAUCAGCUAUACGUAUACAUAUAUCCCCAUAUCCCCUCUCUCUUGCAUCUCCCUCCCCCCAUCCCUAUCCUACCCCUCUAGGUGGUCACAGAGCACCGAGCUGAUCUCCCUGUGCUACGCGGCUGCUUCC